ACUCGUAGACUCCUACGGGAGGCAGCAGUGGGGAAUAUUGCACAAUGGGCGCAAGCCUGAUGCAGCCAUGCCGCGUGUGUGAAGAAGGCCUUCGGGUUGUAAAGCACUUUCAGUCGUGAGGAAGGUAGUGUAGUUAAUAGCUGCAUUAUUUGACGUUAGCGACAGAAGAAGCACCGGCUGGGGGAACUCCGUGCCAGCAGCCGCGGUAAUACGGAGGGUGCGAGCGUUAAUCGGAAUUACUGGGCGUAAAGCGCAUGCAGGUGGUUUGUUAAGUCAGAUGUGAAAGCCCGGGGCUCAACCUCGGAAUUGCAUUUGAAACUGGCAGACUAGAGUACUGUAGAGGGGGGUAGAAUUUCAGGUGUAGCGGUGAAAUGCGUAGAGAUCUGAAGGAAUACCGGUGGCGAAGGCGGCCCCCUGGACAGAUACUGACACUCAGAUGCGAAAGCGUGGGGAGCAAACAGGAUUAGAUACCCUGGUAG
rnacentral:rRNA from 1 species